UACUUCAAGUACUUCAUAAGUGUGAUGACUGGGUUUUCACAUGCAUAUGUGAGAUAUUCCUCCCUCAAACCUUGUAAUGACAUUGACAUAUUAUCCAUCUCAGG
rfam:Pan troglodytes isolate Yerkes chimp pedigree #C0471 (Clint) chromosome 2B, whole genome shotgun sequence.